AGUGGGAUUGUUGAGUCAAAUAGUGGAUCCAUUCCAAGUUUUCUGAGGAAUCUCCACACUGUUUUCCAUACUAGUCGCACUAAUUUGCAUUCCCACCACCAAU
rnacentral:pre_miRNA from 1 species